rnacentral:rRNA from 1 species
GCUUGCACCUGAUGGCGAGUGGCGAACGGGUGAGUAAUGCAUCGGAACGUGCCCAAUCGUGGGGGAUAACGCAGCGAAAGCUGUGCUAAUACCGCAUACGAUCUACGGAUGAAAGCGGGGGACCUUCGGGCCUCGCGCGAUUGGAGCGGCCGAUAUCUGAUUAGGUAGUUGGUAGGGUAAAGGCCUACCAAGCCGACGAUCAGUAGCUGGUCUGAGAGGAUGGACAGCCACAUUGGGACUGAGACACGGACCAGACUCC